rnacentral:rRNA from 1 species
GACAGAGGUGCCGAGCGUUAGGCGGAAUCACUGGGCUUAAAGCGUGUGUAGGCGGGCCGUUAAGUGUCUUGUGAAAUCCCCCGGCUCAACCCGGGGAAUUGCUGGGCAUACUGGCGGUCUUGAGCAAUCUAGGGGCAGAUGGAACAAGUGGUGGAGCGGUGAAAUGCGUAGAUAUCACUUGGAACGCCAAAGGUGAAGACAGUCUGCUGGGGAUUUGCUGACGCUGAGACACGAAAGCCAGGGGAGCGAACGGG